rnacentral:rRNA from 1 species
GACGAACGCUGGCGGCGUGCUUAACACAUGCAAGUCGAACGGAAAGGCCCCUUUGGGGGUACUCGAGUGGCGAACGGGUGAGUAACACGUGAGUAACCUGCCCUUGACUUCGGGAUAACUUCAGGAAACUGGGGCUAAUACCGGAUAGGAAUCCUUGCUGCAUGGUGGGGGUUGGAAAGCUUCGGCGGUUUUGGAUGGACUCGCGGCUUAUCAGCUUGUUGGUGGGGUAGUGGCUUACCAAGGCUUUGACGGGUAGCCGGCCUGAGAGGGCGACCGGCCACAAUGGGGCUGAGAUACGGCCCAGACUCCUACGGGAGGGAGGAGUGGGGAAUAUUGCACAAUGGGCGGAAGCCUGAUGGAGCAACGCCGCGUGCGGGAAGACGGGCUUCGGGUUGUAAACCGCUUUCAGCAGGGGCGAAGCUUGUGGUGAAGGUAACUGCAGAAGAAGCACCGGCUAACUACGUG